GGUUAAGCGACUAAGCGUACACGGUGGAUGCCCUGGCAGUCAGAGGCGAUGAAGGACGUGCUAAUCUGCGAUAAGCGUCGGUAAGGUGAUAUGAACCGUUAUAACCGGCGAUUUCCGAAUGGGGAAACCCAGUGUGUUUCGACACACUAUCAUUAACUGAAUCCAUAGGUUAAUGAGGCGAACCGGGGGAACUGAAACAUCUAAGUACCCCGAGGAAAAGAAAUCAACCGAGAUUCCCCCAGUAGCGGCGAGCGAACGGGGAGCAGCCCAGAGCCUGAAUCAGUGUGUGUGUUAGUGGAAGCGUCUGGAAAGGCGCGCGAUACAGGGUGACAGCCCCGUACACAAAAAUGCACAUACUGUGAGCUCGAUGAGUAGGGCGGGACACGUGGUAUCCUGUCUGAAUAUGGGGGGACCAUCCUCCAAGGCUAAAUACUCCUGACUGACCGAUAGUGAACCAGUACCGUGAGGGAAAGGCGAAAAGAACCCCGGCGAGGGGAGUGAAAAAGAACCUGAAACCGUGUACGUACAAGCAGUGGGAGCACGCUUCGGCGUGUGACUGCGUACCUUUUGUAUAAUGGGUCAGCGACUUAUAUUCUGUAGCAAGGUUAACCGAAUAGGGGAGCCGAAGGGAAACCGAGUCUUAACUGGGCGUUAAGUUGCAGGGUAUAGACCCGAAACCCGGUGAUCUAGCCAUGGGCAGGUUGAAGGUUGGGUAACACUAACUGGAGGACCGAACCGACUAAUGUUGAAAAAUUAGCGGAUGACUUGUGGCUGGGGGUGAAAGGCCAAUCAAACCGGGAGAUAGCUGGUUCUCCCCGAAAGCUAUUUAGGUAGCGCCUCGUGAAUUCAUCUCCGGGGGUAGAGCACUGUUUCGGCAAGGGGGUCAUCCCGACUUACCAACCCGAUGCAAACUGCGAAUACCGGAGAAUGUUAUCACGGGAGACACACGGCGGGUGCUAACGUCCGUCGUGAAGAGGGAAACAACCCAGACCGCCAGCUAAGGUCCCAAAGUCAUGGUUAAGUGGGAAACGAUGUGGGAAGGCCCAGACAGCCAGGAUGUUGGCUUAGAAGCAGCCAUCAUUUAAAGAAAGCGUAAUAGCUCACUGGUCGAGUCGGCCUGCGCGGAAGAUGUAACGGGGCUAAACCAUGCACCGAAGCUGCGGCAGCGACACUAUGUGUUGUUGGGUAGGGGAGCGUUCUGUAAGCCUGUGAAGGUGUGCUGUGAGGCAUGCUGGAGGUAUCAGAAGUGCGAAUGCUGACAUAAGUAACGAUAAAGCGGGUGAAAAGCCCGCUCGCCGGAAGACCAAGGGUUCCUGUCCAACGUUAAUCGGGGCAGGGUGAGUCGACCCCUAAGGCGAGGCCGAAAGGCGUAGUCGAUGGGAAACAGGUUAAUAUUCCUGUACUUGGUGUUACUGCGAAGGGGGGACGGAGAAGGCUAUGUUGGCCGGGCGACGGUUGUCCCGGUUUAAGCGUGUAGGCUGGUUUUCCAGGCAAAUCCGGAAAAUCAAGGCUGAGGCGUGAUGACGAGGCACUACGGUGCUGAAGCAACAAAUGCCCUGCUUCCAGGAAAAGCCUCUAAGCAUCAGGUAACAUUAAAUCGUACCCCAAACCGACACAGGUGGUCAGGUAGAGAAUACCAAGGCGCUUGAGAGAACUCGGGUGAAGGAACUAGGCAAAAUGGUGCCGUAACUUCGGGAGAAGGCACGCUGAUAUGUAGGUGAAGUCCCUCGCGGAUGGAGCUGAAAUCAGUCGAAGAUACCAGCUGGCUGCAACUGUUUAUUAAAAACACAGCACUGUGCAAACACGAAAGUGGACGUAUACGGUGUGACGCCUGCCCGGUGCCGGAAGGUUAAUUGAUGGGGUUAGCGGUAACGCGAAGCUCUUGAUCGAAGCCCCGGUAAACGGCGGCCGUAACUAUAACGGUCCUAAGGUAGCGAAAUUCCUUGUCGGGUAAGUUCCGACCUGCACGAAUGGCGUAAUGAUGGCCAGGCUGUCUCCACCCGAGACUCAGUGAAAUUGAACUCGCUGUGAAGAUGCAGUGUACCCGCGGCAAGACGGAAAGACCCCGUGAACCUUUACUAUAGCUUGACACUGAACAUUGAGCCUUGAUGUGUAGGAUAGGUGGGAGGCUUUGAAGUGUGGACGCCAGUCUGCAUGGAGCCGACCUUGAAAUACCACCCUUUAAUGUUUGAUGUUCUAACGUUGACCCGUGAUCCGGGUUGCGGACAGUGUCUGGUGGGUAGUUUGACUGGGGCGGUCUCCUCCUAAAGAGUAACGGAGGAGCACGAAGGUUGGCUAAUCCUGGUCGGACAUCAGGAGGUUAGUGCAAUGGCAUAAGCCAGCUUGACUGCGAGCGUGACGGCGCGAGCAGGUGCGAAAGCAGGUCAUAGUGAUCCGGUGGUUCUGAAUGGAAGGGCCAUCGCUCAACGGAUAAAAGGUACUCCGGGGAUAACAGGCUGAUACCGCCCAAGAGUUCAUAUCGACGGCGGUGUUUGGCACCUCGAUGUCGGCUCAUCACAUCCUGGGGCUGAAGUAGGUCCCAAGGGUAUGGCUGUUCGCCAUUUAAAGUGGUACGCGAGCUGGGUUUAGAACGUCGUGAGACAGUUCGGUCCCUAUCUGCCGUGGGCGCUGGAGAACUGAGGGGGGCUGCUCCUAGUACGAGAGGACCGGAGUGGACGCAUCACUGGUGUUCGGGUUGUCAUGCCAAUGGCACUGCCCGGUAGCUAAAUGCGGAAGAGAUAAGUGCUGAAAGCAUCUAAGCACGAAACUUGCCCCGAGAUGAGUUCUCCCUGACUCCUUGAGAGUCCUGAAGGAACGUUGAAGACGACGACGUUGAUAGGCCGGGUGUGUAAGCGCAGCGAUGCGUUGAGCUAACCGGUACUAAUGAACCGUGAGGCUUAACCUU
rnacentral:rRNA from 1 species